rnacentral:lncRNA from 1 species
AGGGUGAGUUCAACCAACUCAGUGAGGGGAAUAACAUUUAAUACACAUUUCAUAUAUUUCAGAUAUUAUUUGCAAGAUGAUUUAUCUUGAUAUGCAUAUACAUAUACAUAUACAUAUACUUACUAAACAUAUUAUCAUAACGUAGUGGAUUACAUGUCAGAGAACAGAUGACACCCGAAGGUGACCAGAUGACACCCGUCGGUGACCAGAUGACACCCGUCGGUGACCACUGUGGGAUGAUCAAUCACCACAGGCUGAUGCCUCUCUCACCAGCUAGGUAACAGAAUACUAUGUGCACACAAGCUAACUAUUCUCCGUUAGCAUGGAGUUACUGACAAGUCCCAUAUCAAGGCAUAAUAGAUAUUCACAUAAUCAUCAAAGAAGCGUAUAUCAUAUCAAAUAGAAUUUACUUUGACAGAUUGCGAAUGCAAAUUCAAGAAUAAAUGAGUACUCGGAAAAUAAAGCAACAUAUAUAAAUAUUCAAGAAACUUACUAGUCGUACUCAUUGUAUAAUCAACAUACAUAUUUAUUUAUAUUAUAUGCAUAUUAAAGAUUAUUCCACUCACCCGGAAAAUACUGAACUAAAGGAAUGUCAGGCAAAAGACCCGAAAAUCCGAUUAAGGAUCGUUAGGAGAACCUACAAUAAAUUAAUGAAAUAUACUCAAAAACAAAUCAAACAAAAGAUACAAAUGCAUAAAAUAAACUGAAAACGACAAUUUUCCAAAACAGGGACCAAAACGUAAUUUUACCAAAUUUGAGGACCGAAUUGUAAAUAUAUAUAUCCAUACUGAAAUUAUCCAUAAUUCGUCCUUAUCUUUGUCCAGAAUCUUGAAUUAUGCCCCAAGGUCCAAAAUGUGAUUUUAUCAAAAUAUUAGGGGUCAAAUCGUAAUUUGUCAAAUUGGAGGACCAAACUGAAAAUAUUAAUUAUACUGGAAUUUUGUCCUUAAAUCAUCCUCAGUUCUGUUCAGAACCUCAAUUUAUGCCCCAGGGACCAAUCUGUAAAAGUUCCAAAGUUCGGGGACUAAACUGCAAUUUCCAUAAAUUGAGGGACCAAACUGAAUUUUCGUCAUCUUCAACCUCAAACCCAGAAUUUCAACAGAUCACCUACUGUUAUCCCCUGAUUUCUAACACAAUUUCACCAUUUAAACAAAAUCAUAACUCAAAAUCAUUAUCCUUCAAUUCAAUCUCUCAAAAUCAACUAAUUAAUCAAAUACCCAUAAUAAUCAACUCCUAACCUUCAAAUUAAUUCAUCAAUUAACUCAAAAUACAAACUUCAAAACUCUAAAAAUUAAUCAAAACCGAAAUUAAACAUAUAAUACACUUCAAACCAUAAAUCUUACCUUUUAAACUUAUUUCCUCUACUUCUCUUCCUUUUCCCCUUAUUUUCCCUUCUUUUCUCUUCUUCUUCUUCUUCCUCCCUUCUCUCUUACGUUUUGUUCUUCAAAUUUUCAGAUCCCUCUUUCUUUUUCUAUUUAUAUUUAUCAACUAUUUAUCCAAUUACCACAAUACCCCUUAUUCAAAUUUACUCACUCUUUAAGCCUCCAAGGGCUUUAUUGUAUUUUCCAACCAAAAUAUUACAAUCUCCCCACCUUAUAAAAGUUUCGUCCUCGAAACUUAAUAGAAAAGAUUGAAUACUUACCGAGAUUAUUGAAAAGAUGAGGAUACUCCUCACGCAUCUUAUCCUCGAGCUCCCAGGUCGCUUCCUCACGUGAAUGACCUUUCCAUUUCACUUUCACUGAAGCUAUAUCCUUCGACCUAAGCUUCCUCACUUGUCGGUCAAUUAUAGCUUCCGGUUGCACCUCAUAAACCAUAUCAUCUCUCAAUUCAAUAGGAUGAACCUCUAACACAUGUGAUGAAUCUGGCAUAUACUUCCUUAGCAUGGAAACAUGAAAUACCGGAUGGAUGGAGGAUAGAUUAGGUGGCAAGGCAAGCCGAUAUGCCACUACCCCUACUCUUUCCAAGAUCUCAAAGGGCCCUAUAAACCUAGGGCUCAACUUUCCUUUCUUCCCAAAUCUGAAUAUUCCUUUAGUUGGGGAGACUUUUAGGAACACGUUGUCACCCACUGAAAAUUCUAGAUUACGCCUCCUCUUAUCCGCAUAAUUCUUUUGUCUGCUCUGAGCUGUUUGAAGCUUAUCUCGAAUCACCUUAAUCUUAUCCGAAGUAAUCUGUAUUAACUCAGGACCCAUUAAUCUCCUCUCUCCAACCUCAUACCAACAAACAGGUGAUCUACACUUCCGGCCAUACAAAGCCUCAUAUGGAGCCAUAUCAAUGCUCGCUUGAUAACUAUUAUUAUAUGCAAACUCCACCAAAGACAAGUAUUUGCUCCAUCCGACACCAAAGUCAAUCACACAAGCUCUUAACAUAUCCUCCAAAAUUUGUAUAGUCCUCUCAGAUUGUCCAUCUGUUUGAGGAUGAAAAGCAGUACUUAACUGAACAUUAGUCCCCAAAGCUUCCUGAAAUUUCACCCAAAACCGAGAAGUGAACUGUGGACCUCUGUCAGACACAAUUGAGAUGGGCACACCAUGCAACCUUACAAUCUCGUUAACAUAGAUUUCUGCGAGUUUUGCAAACCCAUAUGUCACCUUUACUGGCAAGAAAUGAGCUGACUUGGUUAAACGAUCAACUAUCACCCAAACCGAAUCAUAACCCUCCUGACUUCGAGGCAAGCCUGACACAAAGUCCAUAGUGAUCCUCUCCCAUUUCCAUUCAGGAAUCAACAAUGGUUGCAAAAGCCCUGGUGGUUUCUGAUGCUCACCUUUAACCCUCUGACAUGUCAAGCAUCGAGAUACAAACUCAGCAAUGUCCCUCUUCAUACCAUUCCACCAAUAACACUCUUUUAAGUCUCUAUACAUCUUAUUAGAACCAGGAUGUAUAGUAUAGGCAGUUUGGUGUGCUUCCAUCAUCACAUCUCUUUUCAAAUCAUCCACCUCAGGCACACACAAUCUUGAACCAAAUCUCAACACACCAUCUUCGUGGAUAACAAAACCCGGAGCUCUCUCUAACUCCAAGUCAUCUCGAAUUUUGCAAAGUUGUUCAUCCUUCAUCUGAGCUACUUUAAUCCGGUCUACCAAGUCUGACUUAGCCUGAAAGUGAGCCAACAAUGCUCCCGAUUCACAAAUCUCAAAACUGACUCUCUCAUCUAACAAUCCGUGUAACUCUUUAAUCAAGGGUCUCCUCACCUCCUGAAUAUGAGCCAAACUACCCAUAGAUUUUCGACUUAAAGCAUCAGCAACAACAUUUGCCUUGCCCGGGUGAUAUUGAAUCGUGCAAUCAUAAUCACUUAACAAUUCUAUCCAUCUUCUUUGUCUCAAAUUCAGAUCCUUCUGCUGAAAAAUAUAUUGAAGACUCUUAUGAUCUGAAAAUAUCUCACAUGUCUCCCCAUACAAGUAGUGUCUCCAAAUUUUAAGGGCAAACACUACCGCAGCCAUCUCCAAAUCAUGUGUGGGGUAAUUUUGCUCAUGCUUCUUCAACUUUCUCGAGGCAUAAGCAAUCACAUUACCAUUCUGCAUCAAAACACAACCCAAACCAAUCCUGGAUGCAUCACAGUACACGGUAAAACCACCAGACCCUGAAGGUACUGUCAAAAUUGGAGCCGUAAUUAACCUUUCCUUCAACUCUAGGAAGCUCUUCUCACAUUCUUCUGACCAUUGAAACUUGACACUUUUCUGUGUCAACUUAGUCAACGGAGCAGCAAUUCGGGAAAAAUUCUCCACGAAUCUCCUGUAGUAUCCUGCUAAACCCAGGAAACUUCUAAUCUCAGAUACCGUAACUGGUCUAGGCCACUGCUUAACUGCCUCCACUUUCUGUGGAUCAACCUCUAUUCCAUUCUUGGACACCACAUGUCCCAAAAACCCAACACUCUCUAGCCAAAACUCGCUCUUCGAGAACUUUCCAUACAACUGAUGAUCUCUUAGAGUUUGAAGCACCAAUCUCAAAUGCUCUUCGUGUUCCUCUUCACUUUUUGAAUACACCAAGAUGUCAUCAAUGAACACAAUAACAAACUUAUCAAUAAAUGGUCUAAAAACCCUGUUCAUCAUGUCCAUAAAAGCCGCAGGUGCAUUUGUUAACCCAAAAGACAACACCAAGAACUCGUAAUGCCCAUAACGAGUCCUAAAGGCAGUUUUAGAAAUAUCCUCAUUUCUAAUCCUCAACUGGUGAUACCCCGAUCGUAAAUCAAUCUUUGAGAAACAUUGAGCUCCUUGUAAUUGAUCAAAAAGGUCAUCAAUGCGAGGGAGUGGGUAUCUAUUCUUAAUAGUGACCCUGUUCAACUGCCUGUAGUCUAUACACAUCCUCAUCGAUCCAUCCUUCUUCUUUACAAAUAAAACAGGUGCCCCCCAUGGAGACACACUCGGACGAAUAAAUCCCUUAUCUAACAAAUCUUGAAUCUGCUCCUUCAACUCUUUUAAUUCUGCUGGCGCCAUCCUGUACGGUGCCAUAGAGAUUGGUUUUGUUCCUGAAUCUAGAUCAAUACAGAAUUCGAUUUCCCUAUUGGGAGGUAGUCCAGGUAAGUCAUCGGGAAAAACAUCGAUGAAUUCCUUAACUAUCGAAACUUGUUCUAUCCCCGAGACCUCCAUAUUCACAUCAUGCACAUAAGCCAAAAACCCUUGCAUACCCUUUCGUACCAUCCUUCUCGUGAUGGCCGAGAGAAUACUAGAUGGAGAUGAUAACCCAUCUCCAUGAAAAGCAAACUCUGUCUCCUCAUCAGGCUUGAAAACCACUGUCUUAUUCCAACAGUCAACUGAGGCAUGAUGCCUUGACAACCAGUCCAUACCUAGUAUCACAUCAAAACCUACAAUUUCUAAAAUUACCAAAUCACCUAAUAGGUUUCUACCUUGCACUUCAACUUCACAAUCAACAUAAACAUAUUCCCCAAACAUAACCUCAUCUGAAGGGGUAGCCACACAUAAAGGACUCUCUAACAAAAUGGGUUGUUUAGUAAACUUUAAAGCAAAAUAUGAUGACACAAAAGAAUGAGUAGCCCCGGUGUCAAAUAAAACUCUAGCCUCGAAGGAACAUAUCAAAAGUGUACCUGAGACAACAGUAUUGGAUGCCUGGGCAUCCUGCUGAGUAAUGGCAAAAACUCGUGCCUGUCUCUGACUUGUUGGCGCAAAACCUCUACCGCCUACUCCACGACCCCGCUGGCCACGCUCACCAGCUCCACGACCACCCUGAAAUACAGAAUGACUAGCUGACUGAGUCUGAGUAGGAGAUGUAAUCGGUACAGAAGCAUUAGGCUUGGACCACCUCUUGUUCGGACAAUCCCUCAAUAAGUGAUCAGUCUGCCCGCAACCAAAACAAGCUCCUGUCUGCCUAUAACAGACUGUGCCAUAAUGCCUAGACCCACAAGACUGACAUUGAGGCCUCCCAUAUGAACCUUGUGGUGUUAACUGAACCAUACUUCGACUCUGAGUCGGACCAGCUCCACUCAUGUUAUGUCUAUUGUUCCCCCCAACAGUAGACCUCGACAAUGAAUUCCUUGAUUGACUUAAUUGGCCCUGCCGGCCUCCCUGUCCCCUGUUAGGACCUGUAUCAGACCGCUGAUGAAAAGAGAACUGAUUUGCCACCUUGGGCCUCUUGACUGAACCCACUGAUAAAUCAUCCUCUAACUCUCGUGCCUCAAUAGCUCGGGCACGAUCCACUACGGCUGAGUACGUCUUAAACUCAUGAGCCCCAAUAGCUUUGAAUAGGUAGUUAUUAAGACCCCGAAUAAACCUCUUGAUCUUCCUCUCCUCAGUCGGUACCAAAUACCCAGCAAAUCUAGACAACCGUGUGAAUUCCACUUCAUACUCUGUCACAGUCAAGUCACCCUGAACCAACUUCUCAAACUCGUAUGAUUUAGCUUCCCUCACACUUUCAGGUAGAAAACGCUCCAAAAAUAUCUCAGAAAAUUCCUUCCACUCCAUCGGUGGAGAACUAUCUGCCCUUUCACCUCUUUUACUCAUACCAGUUCACAGCCACCUCGCCUUCUAACCUAAAAGAUGCUAAAGUCACUGCACGAUGAUCUGUGCACCCCAUGGCCUCACACCUGCGCCACACUGCAUCUAAAAACUGUUGUGGAUCCUCAGAGUUAUCGACACCCUUAAAGGUAGGAGGUGCCAACUUAAGGAACUCUGCCAAUGGCACUUUCACCCCAUGCACUGUAUGGGAAGUCGAAGAUGCAUUCUUAUCCUUCUCCUUUUCUUUCUCAGUUAAAAGGUCAGCCAGGGUCUGCAUGGCCUGCCCAAUUUUAUCCAAAGCACUAUCAGUAUAAGACACCCUAUCAUGGGAUUCCUGCUCCUGGUUCUUACCAACAUCCAGACCAUAGUCCCCCUCAAAUUCAACCUCAUCCUGAACUUCUGCUUCAAUUGGUUGAGGCGAAGGGUUUCUAACUCUCUUUUUGCGCCUCUCCUUCCUAAGCUGAGCGAUAGGAAUGUCCUCUUGAUCAUCGGUAUUAAUUACAUGUUUAGCCCUCGGCAUAUUUCUAAAAACAAAAUGCAUAUUUAUCACAAGGAAGAAGACAUGCUUGAUGAGAAUUCAAAAUUUCAAAAACAACAAACAAAACGAUACGGAUCCUAAUGCUCCACUUAUUACGAAAUUUUGAAUAAUAAUAAAUAAAUAAAAUUACGAGGUUUUAAUAAAACCAUGCUCUGAUACCACCUUUGUCACGACCCGAAUCCCGGAUCCGUGACCGGCAACGUAGGCGGUGUCGAAAGGACACCUCACCUACGCUAAGCCUCAGAACAGACAUAUCAAAGAACAAUUUGUUCAAAAAUACGCAGCGGCUCAUAAUAUUCAGAAAUAUUAUAUUAUUCAAAUACUGAUGAAACCGAAAGAUAAUUAUUAAAACAAAAAUAAUAAUUCAUAAUACUUAUUACAUUGUCAAAAUCCAAAUGUAAUUAAAACAAGGUAACAGUGGAGCGUCUAAGACAUCAAAUCAAAACUGAAAGGAAAGCCUUGCGAACAAGCAAGGCAUACCGACCAGAACAGAAGAAGCGGAAACACUCAACAAAGUUCCAGAAACUAAGAACCUGAAAUAAUAUUAAAAAAAUGAGGGGUGAGUUCAACCAACUCAGUGAGGGGAAUAACAUUUAAUACACAUUUCAUAUAUUUCAGAUAUUAUUUGCAAGAUGAUUUAUCUUGAUAUACAUAUACAUAUACAUAUACAUAUACUUACUAAACAUAUUAUCAUAACGUAGUGGAUUACAUGUCAGAGAACAGAUGACACCCGAAGGUGACCAGAUGACACCCGUCGGUGACCAGAUGACACCCGUCGGUGACCACUGUGGGAUGAUCAAUCACCACAGGCUGAUGCCUCUCUCACCAGCUAGGUAACAGAAUACUAUGUGCACACAGGCUAACUAUUCUCCGUUAGCAUGGAGUACUGACAAGUCCCAUAUCAAGGCAUA